UUUCAGUUGGAAAUAAAAUGUCUAUUUCUUACCUUCUUCACUUUGUGCUUUGAAAUUUACCACUGUAUUAGCAAAGGUGAAAACAGUAUUUUGGCUUCAAUUAAGCAGCUCAAACAUUUAUUUUCACAAGUAAACUGUGUUGAUAUCAGUAAGUAUGUCCUAAUUUGGAGCCUACAACAACCGAUUUGAAAAAUGUUCACAAUUUUUUUUUUUUUUUUUUUUUUUUUUGCUAUUUCUUCAGGCCCAACAAAUAAAAAGUAUAAAAAAAAAAUUUUUUUUUGACUACAGAUCUGAAAGUCUAGACGCCACUAUAGCUGAAAAAUGUAAAAAAAAAAAAAAAAAAAAAAAAAAAAAAAAAAAAAAAAAAAAAGAUUCUAACUGUGCUGACCAAUACAGUAGCUUCUAGCCACAUAUGUUUAUAUAAAUUUUCAUCUAAAUUAAUCAAAAUGAAGAAUUCAGUUCGAAGUCACACUAGUCACAUUUCAAGUGCUCAGCAGCCAUACAAAAGAACUUUACCACAUCACUGUUGUGUACCAUCCGAGAACACCACAAAACGCAAAUGCUUUAUCACCUUGUAAUUCUUGCUUCCAUACAAAAGGUUCAAAUUUUGGUUUAAAAUAUGAAGAGUUAAGUAAACAUGGUUUCAUAUUUUAUCUUACAAACAGGGUUAUAGUCUUGAACCCCUAUGUCAUUUUUGGAGAUCAAGACAGUAACUGGCCCACUUAACAAAGACGUUAAUACUUUGUGCAUUCCAUAACCUCUACUUACAUAGUUACACAUUCUGGUAACCAUAGUUCCAUUUAGGUAAACAUGAAGAUGAACACUGGCACAUGUGCCAAAAACCUGAAGGAGAGACAUUAGGGAAUCUAAUAUUGAAUGAGGCUUUCCAUAUAAUUCAACAAAAUGGAUUACAGCUGAUAUUUCCAGAGAUACUAUGGAAUACAGUGCUCAAAUUUCUGUGAAUUAUUCUCGUGAUAAGUGUGGUGACCAACCCAUCUCAGUUUUCCUAGGUGUUUCCAGGCUUAUAGGUCCGGGGCAACUACCAAUCGUUAUUCAAAGGGGAAAGCACCCUGUUCGAAAUCAAGUAAGAAAAAUGGUUUAUAUUCCCGGUCUGCCAUCUCUAUUCUAAGCUUUAUCUUUAUUUAGCUCCCAGUUAAAGGGGGAAUAGAGCCACACCCACCUCACAAACGCCCCAAGGACUGGGAGACCAGAAAAGUAAAAGCCACUUGCAAACCUAAUUUAGCUCUAAGUCGAUAAAAAAUACUAUCAUAUGCUCACAUUUCUAAUAUUUGCUAAUAUAAUGUAAUCUUUAUUUUGCAAA
rnacentral:lncRNA from 1 species